GAUGAACGCUGGCGGCGUGCCUAAUACAUGCAAGUCGAGCGAACGGACGAGAAGCUUGCUUCUCUGAUGUUAGCGGCGGACGGGGUGAGUAACACGUGGAUAACCUACCUAUAAGACUGGGAUAACUUCGGGAAACCGGAGCUAAUACCGGAUAAUAUUUUGAACCGCAUGGUUCAAAAAGUGAAAGACGGUCUUGCUGUCACUUAUAGAUGGAUCCGCGCUGCAUUAGCUAGUUGGUAAGGUAACGGCUUACCAAGGCAACGAUGCAUAGCCGACCUGAGAGGGUGAUCGGCCACACUGGAACUGAGACACGGUCCAGACUCCUACGGGAGGCAGCAGUAGGGAAUCUUCCGCAAUGGGCGAAAGCCUAGACGGAGCAACGCCGCGUGAGUGAUGAAGGUCUUCGGAUCGUAAAACUCUGUU
rnacentral:rRNA from 1 species